CUUUGAGCUAACCUCCCCGUACCCAAAAAUACACUUUUCUAUCAAACAUCUAUCUCCCUCUCGCCUGAUUCCCCUUUCUCGCCCAACUUCCAUAACCAUGACGCUGCCGCCACCGCCACCAAUUGUUUUGAGGAACAUACUAGCACCACCACAAGCCAGCCACACUGCGAGCCCCCAGCCUCCAUGAUGGCCGCAGCAGGCCACCAUGCAUGCGUGAGCAGCCGCCGCUGCCGAACUGGCCUGGCCAGAUCUAGGCCCAAGCGUACAUGAGAGCAGAAGCUCCGUGCACCACCGACCACCGCCUCCACCGUACCUCUCCGCUGCAAGCAGGCACCAGCGCCGGAGCCCUGGAGGAGCCACCCCGCCACCGUGGCCCCCCACCGCGUAGACCACUACCUGCCUCCACGAGGUCCCCCAACUCGUGAGCGCGACACUUGACUCCUGGAGAAACGGAUCUCGCCGGGGCGGUUCUGCAUGGGAUUUGACCGUCGGAGGUUGCUGGUGAUGGAGAGAGGGAGGAGGUGGAGCCAGCAACAUUGUUGGGCCGGUAACAACACGCAUCUUGAGAGACAUGCACAAUUCCUCCGAAUCAUUGUAAUCUUUAACUGUUUAUUCCAUAAGAGCACGUUCUGGAAAAAUUGAUAUGCAACUUCGAACUAUUGGUAUCACAGGUUUUGGUGGUAACACAUGCUCACCUUCAGUUCAAACCAACAACAAUGAUCAUGAACUGGUACCCUGUUUGUUUAUUUGGAGCACACACAGAUGAAUCGUGGUGCACACCAUUGCAUAGUGUCGAAGUAUGGAUUGUAACCUUCAUGUUAUAUACACAAGUGAUUUAUUCUGAACCCUAGUGCCACGGGUGUUUGGCACGAUUCUCUCACCAAUGGUUUCUAGGCCCACUACCUCGCGUCUGCACACGAGUUGCUGCGCUCGGGCCUAAUGGUGUUGUGCCUCGCAGGCUACCUAUGUUGGCGCUUAAUCUUGACUGCAGGUUGGAUCUGACACAAAUUGCCUUAUGGGCGCGUAAUGUAGCUACGGUUCAGUUGUUGAUGAUCCCCCCCUUCUGUUUUCAAGAUAAAACAUGCAUUGAACAUAUGAUUAACUCUAUUGACAUCUAUGCAGGAGCUCCAGGCUUCCUCUACAUUGGCUUCGGGUUGUCAUACCAUGAAAUCUCCAAGCUCUGUAAAUCAAUUCCGCGCUGAAGUUGUACUGCUCCAUGACAAGUAGCUUCAGGGCAGAUAGAUAUGUACAGAUUACUACAUCAUCGGAGAGUAAGGUACCCAUUCGCUCAUCGAUUAGGUAUUUUGUACAUUCCCAUGUUUUGCCCAUUACCCUAUUUUGUACAUUCCUAUAGAUUUUGAUGUUCGGUUAUUGAAUGGCAUGACAAAUGAUACAACAUUAGGAAGCUAAAAGGUCACAAAGAUCAAAUUCUUUUGAUAUAUAAUAUGCCACAUUGGCAGGAAUGGCUUAUGGGUGGUAUUUCUUAAAACUAGGUAAGUAUUAAAAAAAACUAAUCAGCCAUGGUCUGCUUUUAUUCAGACUGUUCAGCCAUUACAUAGGUCUCCUUUUGAUGCAUUUUCAUAAAUAUGCAUUUAGCUUAUGUACUAGGUUGGUCUUCAACAAUUAACUAGUGGCAAAUCAAUUUCUCUUCUUCUGUAAACAUCUUGAAUCUCACUUUCUCUAGAAACAAAACAUCCAAACUUUUUCCUAGAGAAGCCCAAACGAAUUCAUGCCCCAUCUGGGGCGGCCAAGACCAUAGUCGUGGCUCAUCUCUUCUAAAUAUUUGUUUGUGUCUGAUGUCCUCAUCUCAGAUUGUGGUGGUGUUGCAGUCAGAGUGGAACCAAACUUCCUAUAGCGGCUCAGUCUAGUAUGGUACCUCCGAUUUAUCUUUCCUAACUUCUAAUGAAUUAUUCUCUCAUGUCCUCUCUUCUAUACUAAUUAGGGCACGAUGGCAAGCAGAGUGGAUUAGAAAGUUAUCCAACAACACCCCUUUUCCGUUUCACAGUUAACAAUGCCAACUGCCCCAAAUCUGAUGAUGUGUUCCUUUUUCAUGUUGUUCCUUCUACAGGUUCUGAGAAUGCACUCAUGGAUUGCAAAUUUCUAAUGUCCGAAGUUGUAGUUCUCAGGUUGAUGAGAAGUUCAAUACUAGGUGAUUACUUGGAUCCUUGGAUAAUUUAUGCUGAUCUUUGGUACUUGGAGGAGAGUGAAGACAGUUCACAGAAUUUUAGUAAUUUAUAUGCUUUAAAAUAUUUCAUAUUCUAGGAAAUUGAUGUACUCCUAAUAGAUGAUACUUGCAUUGCAAUGUAACAGAUUAUGCCAUUGAAUCAAUAUAUUAGUUUCAU